UGGGGAAUAUUGCACAAUGGGCGCAAGCCUGAUGCAGCCAUGCCGCGUGUAUGAAGAAGGCCUUCGGGUUGUAAAGUACUUUCAGCGGGGAGGAAGGGAGUAAAGUUAAUACCUUUGCUCAUUGACGUUACCCGCAGAAGAAGCACCGACUAACUCCGUGCCAGCAGCCGCGGUAAUACGGAGGGUGCAAGCGUUAAUCGGAAUUACUGGGCGUAAAGCGCACGCAGGCGGUUUGUUAAGUCAGAUGUGAAAUCCCCGGGCUCAACCUGGGAACUGCAUCUGAUACUGGCAAGCUUGAGUCUCGUAGAGGGGGGUAGAAUUCCAGGUGUAGCGGUGAAAUGCGUAGAGAUCUGGAGGAAUACCGGUGGCGAAGGCGGCCCCCUGGACGAAGACUGACGCUCAGGUGCGAAAGCGUGGGGAGCAAACA
rnacentral:rRNA from 1 species